AUCGCGACUCACACGUGUGGUUGCAGCAACGUGACAGGUGUCCAAGUUAUUCUAAUUGGACAUGGUUGUAAAAAAAACUCGUAAUUUUAACAACCGUUUACUUUUGAUCAGUCUUCAAAAAGCCGGAGUUUUUUAAAAUGGCUACUUUUUAUAUUACGCAAAAUCGUAACUUAUUUCAAACCGAUUUUAAUUAUUAUUUUUGCAAUAAGAUUGACUGCAGUGUUGAUCCUGUUAAGCCUUAGUAGGUUACCCUGAUCUGGCAUAUAUGAACUUUCAAAGAUGUUAUGGACGAAAAGAUUGUAAGCUGGCAUGGAAACACGGUGUCUUUAGAAAGUUUGGUGUCGGUUAAAUGAAAUAACAUAAAUAAAUAAUACAUGAUAAAGUAUCUAAAAAAUACAACAAACAGACAACAGCGACCCCCUUGUAGAGGCUUGGGGACCCCUAGGGAGUCGCGACCCACAUUUUGAAUAAUACUGGUCUAGUUAAAGAGGCAUCAGCUGGAUUCGACACAAAUCCAUGUCACGCGAAUAACGAUCUACGUUUUUCUCGUAUCUUAUCUCCCUAAUUAAGUACCUUUCAAUAUAUAAUGAUGUAAUGCUAUUUCAAAUUAAAAUUAAAUAUAUGA